rnacentral:snoRNA from 1 species
AUUCCAUGGUUUGGGCAUUUACUCAUUAGCUCGUUAAACCUAUUCCAUGCCUCAUGAUAGCUUCCUCCAUCUUUCUGUUGAAAAGUUUGAAUCUCCAAUUUGAUUUU